rnacentral:rRNA from 1 species
CCGGCACGGGUGAGUAACGCGUAUCCAACCUGCCUUACACUCUUGGACAGCCUUCUGAAAGGGAGAUUAAUACAAGAUGUUAUCAUGAGUAAGCAUUUUCACAUGAUUAAAGGUUUACCGGUGCAAGAUGGGGAUGCGUUCCAUUAGAUAGUAGGCGGGGUAACGGCCCACCUAGUCUUCGAUGGAUAGGGGUUCUGAGAGGAAGGUCCCCCACAUUGGAACUGAGACACGGUCCAA